rnacentral:tRNA from 1 species
GUCCGCGAGGGCGUCGGCGGUGAGCACGAGGCCGGUGGCACCGGUGCAGGAGACGACGACGUCGGCACGUGUCAGUUCGUCGCCGACCGCGGACA